UUAAGCGACUAAGCGUACACGGUGGAUGCCCUGGCAGUCAGAGGCGAUGAAGGACGUGCUAAUCUGCGAUAAGCGUCGGUAAGGUGAUAUGAACCGUUAUAACCGGCGAUUUCCGAAUGGGGAAACCCAGUGUGUUUCGACACACUAUCAUUAACUGAAUCCAUAGGUUAAUGAGGCGAACCGGGGGAACUGAAACAUCUAAGUACCCCGAGGAAAAGAAAUCAACCGAGAUUCCCCCAGUAGCGGCGAGCGAACGGGGAGCAGCCCAGAGCCUGAAUCAGUGUGUGUGUUAGUGGAAGCGUCUGGAAAGGCGCGCGAUACAGGGUGACAGCCCCGUACACAAAAAUGCACAUGCUGUGAGCUCGAUGAGUAGGGCGGGACACGUGGUAUCCUGUCUGAAUAUGGGGGGACCAUCCUCCAAGGCUAAAUACUCCUGACUGACCGAUAGUGAACCAGUACCGUGAGGGAAAGGCGAAAAGAACCCCGGCGAGGGGAGUGAAAAAGAACCUGAAACCGUGUACGUACAAGCAGUGGGAGCACGCUUAGGCGUGUGACUGCGUACCUUUUGUAUAAUGGGUCAGCGACUUAUAUUCUGUAGCAAGGUUAACCGAAUAGGGGAGCCGAAGGGAAACCGAGUCUUAACUGGGCGUUAAGUUGCAGGGUAUAGACCCGAAACCCGGUGAUCUAGCCAUGGGCAGGUUGAAGGUUGGGUAACACUAACUGGAGGACCGAACCGACUAAUGUUGAAAAAUUAGCGGAUGACUUGUGGCUGGGGGUGAAAGGCCAAUCAAACCGGGAGAUAGCUGGUUCUCCCCGAAAGCUAUUUAGGUAGCGCCUCGUGAAUUCAUCUCCGGGGGUAGAGCACUGUUUCGGCAAGGGGGUCAUCCCGACUUACCAACCCGAUGCAAACUGCGAAUACCGGAGAAUGUUAUCACGGGAGACACACGGCGGGUGCUAACGUCCGUCGUGAAGAGGGAAACAACCCAGACCGCCAGCUAAGGUCCCAAAGUCAUGGUUAAGUGGGAAACGAUGUGGGAAGGCCCAGACAGCCAGGAUGUUGGCUUAGAAGCAGCCAUCAUUUAAAGAAAGCGUAAUAGCUCACUGGUCGAGUCGGCCUGCGCGGAAGAUGUAACGGGGCUAAACCAUGCACCGAAGCUGCGGCAGCGACACUAUGUGUUGUUGGGUAGGGGAGCGUUCUGUAAGCCUGUGAAGGUGUGCUGUGAGGCAUGCUGGAGGUAUCAGAAGUGCGAAUGCUGACAUAAGUAACGAUAAAGCGGGUGAAAAGCCCGCUCGCCGGAAGACCAAGGGUUCCUGUCCAACGUUAAUCGGGGCAGGGUGAGUCGACCCCUAAGGCGAGGCCGAAAGGCGUAGUCGAUGGGAAACAGGUUAAUAUUCCUGUACUUGGUGUUACUGCGAAGGGGGGACGGAGAAGGCUAUGUUGGCCGGGCGACGGUUGUCCCGGUUUAAGCGUGUAGGUUGGUUUUCCAGGCAAAUCCGGAAAAUCAAGGCUGAGGCGUGAUGACGAGGCACUACGGUGCUGAAGCAACAAAUGCCCUGCUUCCAGGAAAAGCCUCUAAGCAUCAGGUAACAUCAAAUCGUACCCCAAACCGACACAGGUGGUCAGGUAGAGAAUACCAAGGCGCUUGAGAGAACUCGGGUGAAGGAACUAGGCAAAAUGGUGCCGUAACUUCGGGAGAAGGCACGCUGAUAUGUAGGUGAGGUCCCUCGCGGAUGGAGCUGAAAUCAGUCGAAGAUACCAGCUGGCUGCAACUGUUUAUUAAAAACACAGCACUGUGCAAACACGAAAGUGGACGUAUACGGUGUGACGCCUGCCCGGUGCCGGAAGGUUAAUUGAUGGGGUUAGCGCAAGCGAAGCUCUUGAUCGAAGCCCCGGUAAACGGCGGCCGUAACUAUAACGGUCCUAAGGUAGCGAAAUUCCUUGUCGGGUAAGUUCCGACCUGCACGAAUGGCGUAAUGAUGGCCAGGCUGUCUCCACCCGAGACUCAGUGAAAUUGAACUCGCUGUGAAGAUGCAGUGUACCCGCGGCAAGACGGAAAGACCCCGUGAACCUUUACUAUAGCUUGACACUGAACAUUGAGCCUUGAUGUGUAGGAUAGGUGGGAGGCUUAGAAGUGUGGACGCCAGUCUGCAUGGAGCCGACCUUGAAAUACCACCCUUUAAUGUUUGAUGUUCUAACGUUGACCCGUAAUCCGGGUUGCGGACAGUGUCUGGUGGGUAGUUUGACUGGGGCGGUCUCCUCCUAAAGAGUAACGGAGGAGCACGAAGGUUGGCUAAUCCUGGUCGGACAUCAGGAGGUUAGUGCAAUGGCAUAAGCCAGCUUGACUGCGAGCGUGACGGCGCGAGCAGGUGCGAAAGCAGGUCAUAGUGAUCCGGUGGUUCUGAAUGGAAGGGCCAUCGCUCAACGGAUAAAAGGUACUCCGGGGAUAACAGGCUGAUACCGCCCAAGAGUUCAUAUCGACGGCGGUGUUUGGCACCUCGAUGUCGGCUCAUCACAUCCUGGGGCUGAAGUAGGUCCCAAGGGUAUGGCUGUUCGCCAUUUAAAGUGGUACGCGAGCUGGGUUUAGAACGUCGUGAGACAGUUCGGUCCCUAUCUGCCGUGGGCGCUGGAGAACUGAGGGGGGCUGCUCCUAGUACGAGAGGACCGGAGUGGACGCAUCACUGGUGUUCGGGUUGUCAUGCCAAUGGCACUGCCCGGUAGCUAAAUGCGGAAGAGAUAAGUGCUGAAAGCAUCUAAGCACGAAACUUGCCCCGAGAUGAGUUCUCCCUGACCCUUUAAGGGUCCUGAAGGAACGUUGAAGACGACGACGUUGAUAGGCCGGGUGUGUAAGCGCAGCGAUGCGUUGAGCUAACCGGUACUAAUGAACCGUGAGGCUUAACCUU
rnacentral:rRNA from 1 species